rnacentral:rRNA from 1 species
UGGGGAAUAUUGCACAAUGGGGGAAACCCUGAUGCAGCAACGCCGCGUGAAGGAUGAAGGUUUUCGGAUUGUAAACUUCUAUCGAUAGGGACGAAUUUUGACGGUACCUAGGUAAGAAGCCCCGGCUAACUACGUGCCAGCAGCCGCGGUAAUACGUAGGGGGCAAGCGUUAUCCGGAUUUACUGGGUGUAAAGGGUGAGUAGGCGGCCUUGAAAGUCAUGUGUGAAAUCUAUAGGCUUAACUUAUAAACUGCACAAGAAACUUCAAGGCUCGAGUACAGGAGAGGUUGGCGGAAUUCCUAGUGUAGCGGUGAAAUGCGUAGAUAUUAGGAAGAACACCGGUGGCGAAGGCGGCCAACUGGACUGAAACUGACGCUGAGUCACGAAAGCGUGGGGAGCGAACA